UUCUGUAGGAUACAGUCCUUAGGAAGUCAACCGAGUCUUCCAGAAUCUGAGAUACUGCAGAGGGAGAUGGCUCCCCAGGAACAGUUGAAGUGUGAGUAUGUUCUCUUGAGAGUCUAUUGCUGUUCUGAGAGCUCCUUUUUUUCCAAGAUGCCAUAUUAUUAUUAUUUUAGAGAGAUGACUGUGGGUGUGCAAGAGCCUAUGUGGUU